rnacentral:rRNA from 1 species
ACGCUCGACACCUACGGGAAGCAGCAGUGGGGAAUAUUGCACAAUGGGGGAAACCCUGAUGCAGCGACGCCGCGUGAGCGAAGAAGUAUUUCGGUAUGUAAAGCUCUAUCAGCAGGGAAGAAAGUGACGGUACCUGACUAAGAAGCACCGGCUAAAUACGUGCCAGUAGCCGCGGUAAUCUGAGCGGGCUGGCAAGGC